AUUUAUCUGCGUAGGGUACAGAGGUAAAGAUGUUCUAUCUUUCAGACCUUUUGUUUCACGUUAUUGAAUUUGGCUAAAUUCAGCCGCCUCAGUCAACCUUUUUGACUGGGGCGUUUUUUC
rfam:Vibrio fischeri ES114 chromosome I, complete sequence.